rnacentral:rRNA from 1 species
AUACGAAAGGUGCAAGCGUUGUUCGGAUUUACUGGGCGUAAAGAGAGUGUAGGUGGUUUAUUAAGUCGGAUGUGAAAUCCCGGGGCUCAACCUCGGAACUGCAUUCGAUACUGAUAGGCUAGAGUUUGGGAGGGGUAAGCGGAAUUCCGUGUGUAGCAGUGAAAUGCGUAGAUAUACGGAGGAACACCUGAGGCGAAGGCGGCUUACUGGACCAAUACUGACACUGAGACUCGAAAGCGUGGGUAGCAAACAGGAUUAGAUACCCUAGUAGUCC